GCUGGGGAGAUAGCUCAGUUGGUAGAGAGCUCGCCUCUCAUGCACCGGCCCUGGGUUCAAUCCCCAGCAGCA
rnacentral:tRNA from 1 species